GACGGAGGAUGCAAGUGUUAUCCGGAAUCACUGGGCGUAAAGCGUCUGUAGGUGGUUCGAAAAGUCCACUGUUAAAAAUUGAGGCUUAACUUCAAAGAUGCCGUGGAAACUUUCAAACUAGAGUAUGGUAGGGGUAGAGGGAAUUUCCAGUGGAGCGGUGAAAUGCGUAGAUAUUGGAAAGACCACCGAUGGCGAAGGCACUCUACUGGGCCAUUACUGACACUGAGAGGCGAAAGCUAGGGGAGCAAAUGGG
rnacentral:rRNA from 1 species